rnacentral:tRNA from 1 species
GCUUUAAUGGUGUAAAACAUGUUAUAAUUUCAUUAUAGAGUAGACAUAAGUCUUAGAGUA